GUCCAGACUCCUACGGGAGGCAGCAGUGGGGGAUAUUGCACAAUGGGGGAAACCCUGAUGCAGCGACGCCGCGUGGGCGAAGAAGUAUUUCGGUAUGUAAAGCCCUAUCAGCAGGGAAGAAGAAAUGACGGUACCUGAAGAAGAAGCCCCGGCUAACUACGUGCCAGCAGCCGCGGUAAUACGUAGGGGGCAAGCGUUAUCCGGAUUUACUGGGUGUAAAGGGGGCGCAGACGGCGAUGCAAGCCAGGAGUGAAAGCCCGGGGCGCAACCCCGGGACUGCUCUUGGAACUGCGUGGCUGGAGUGCAGGAGGGGGAGGCGGAAUUCCUGGUGUAGCGGUGAAAUGCGUAGAUAUUAGGAGGAACACCAGUGGCGAAGGCGGCUUACUGGACUGUAACUGACGUUGAGGCUCGAAAGCGUGGGGAGCAAACAGGAUUAGAUACCCCUGUAAUC
rnacentral:rRNA from 1 species